CAGUUUACAGGUUCAGAGGUGAGACAUGGAGCACCUGGAGACACCUACUUUCUCACCACUUCCAGCUUCUAGAGGUGGCUGUAUUCUUACGCCUGUGGCAUUCUGAAUGGGAACUGUCUGCACAGCUUCAUGAUCCACAUGGUGGACUCACACCACAGCUGGGCACAUCCCACCACCAAGCCUCCCCUGCCUUGAUAGACUGUGUCCUCUCAAAUCAGCAGACAAAGAAAGUCCUUCAUCCCUCAA